rnacentral:rRNA from 1 species
UACGUAGGGGGCAAGCGUUGUCCGGAGUUACUGGGCGUAAAGCGCACGCAGGCGGUCUUCUAAGUUUUGGAGUGACAGUUGGUGGCUUAACUGCCAAAGUGCUUCGAAAACUGAGAGACUUGAGGGCUUCAGAGGGACACGGAAUUCCGGGUGGAGUGGUGAAAUGCGUAGAGAUCCGGAGGAACACCAAAGGCGAAGGCAGUGUCCUGGGGAGUACCUGACGCUCAGGUGCGAAAGCCAGGGGAGCGAACGGG